rnacentral:lncRNA from 1 species
CGUUGCUUAUUUAGCCAAGUUCUUGUGUAGAGACAUAAUUGUGUGAUGAAGUCUCUUGUCAUUACCCUUUGUGAUUCUAUCUUCAAUAGCCUUCUUAUGCGACAACGCCUUUGGAGAGUAUUGAGACUGAGAAGCAUGAGAAUUGUACUGAAAGUUAUCAGACACCAAAGAACUAUACUCAUGCUUCUAAGUUGCUAAUAGCAUUAUGUCUCUAUGUCUAUGAAUAUUGAGACUUAAGGAAACUAGGAGCUAAACAAUGAAAUGAGAUAGUCGGUGGUUGUAUUAUGCCUCUCUGUGACAACGCCUUUGGAG